CAGGAUAGAGGAGGAGAGGAGAAGGGAAGGUCUGUCUAGGGGGUAGUGGUCGUAGAGUUCUUUUUUUUUUGGGCUAGUGGCCGCCGCCGCCGCCGCCGCCGCUACCACACGUGGUUCACGCUCUUCUUCGACCCCUUCCACUAGCAGGGCCUGUUCACCUUCCUCCCGCGGUCGUUGUGGAUGCUCCCGCCGCCGGCGUUCUAGUUGCUCUUGUUCGAGGAGAGGUUCUUCUCGUCCACCUGAGGAAUGCCUUUAUGGUUUACGUAUUAGACGUUCGUUGUCCACGUGGUCCUGCCAUUUAUGACGGUGUGGACACGGAUAAGUUUUCCCCACACACGCUACACACCGUUCGUUCACGACCUGUGCUUCGACAUGUUCGUUUCGUUACACACUCGUCCUAUGAGUUCACCACCUGAACCUUCGUAUGCCCUUAUGUUUCCACCUUACAGUCUACUAGGUUCCUAGUUCCUAUUUAUUUAAUCACGCCGCGCUACUAAAUACACGAGGCAGCUAGUACCUGCACUACUAAAGACACGAGAAGAAGGUACAUAGACCUACAUUUCUUCACGUAGGUAUGGUAACGCGACGACACUCGGUUUGUCUCAUCCUCUACAACGUUAAGCUCUUUGCCAAAAGC
rnacentral:rRNA from 1 species